UACGAAGGGGGCUAGCGUUGCUCGGAAUCACUGGGCGUAAAGCGCACGUAGGCGGAUUGUUAAGUCAGGGGUGAAAUCCUGGAGCUCAACUCCAGAACUGCCUUUGAUACUGGCGAUCUCGAGUCCGGGAGAGGUGAGUGGAACUGCGAGUGUAGAGGUGAAAUUCGUAGAUAUGACAUAGAACACCAAUUGCGAAGGCAGCUCACUACACGGUCAUUGACACUGAGGCACGAAAGCGUGGGGAUCAAACAGG
rnacentral:rRNA from 1 species